rnacentral:rRNA from 1 species
UACGUAGGUGGCAAGCGUUGUCCGGAUUUACUGGGCGUAAAGAGCGCGCAGGCGGUCGUGCAAGUCGCGUGUGAAAGCCCCCGGCUCAACUGGGGAGGGUCACGCGAUACUGCUCGACUUGAAGGCAGGAGAGGGAAGUGGAAUUCCCGGUGUAGUGGUGAAAUGCGUAGAUAUCGGGAGGAACACCAGUGGCGAAGGCGACUUCCUGGUCUGUUCUUGACGCUGAGGCGCGAAAGCUAGGGUAGCAAACGGG